rnacentral:lncRNA from 1 species
UACAAUGAGGACCAUCCAUCAUUUCUACAUGAGAACAUAAAACGUGUAUCGUUUUAAGACUGGUUCUUUGGACAAGGUGGUUAUUUCUCCGGUAUAAUGUCUUCCUGUUCUUCAGUCCUGUGAACUAUGUUGCAGUGCUGCUGCUUUCCACAGGAAACAGUCUGUUCUAUGGCCAUGAUGCAGCUCCUGAGAUACAACCAG